rnacentral:lncRNA from 1 species
GUUAUUAUCUACAUUAAGAGGGUGUGGGGAGUGAGUUAAGUCUCACAACCAAUCUAUACUAAGAAAACAUGAUUUCUGAUGGCCUAAGAGAACUUGAAAUGUCUUUGCGAGUUUUUCUAUCUCUUAAAAAAUGGACUGUUAUGGUGAAACCACCAACUGGUUCCCCUUUAAAAAAAUUUUGGAAAGAAAAAAUAUCUAUAAUUCGUUUUCUUUGUUGGGCAAUACAGUUGAUAGAUAAAUAAUAAAGUAAUGGAAUCAAUUGGAUGUAUAGGACAAACCAUGGUCUCUCCAAUACAACAUUGUAAUAGUCAAAGACUCAAAUAAGACCUGGAUUUCAAAUAUAAAAUGUAUGGAUUAAAUUAAUUAAUCAUGCAAAAGUUUUCAAACAAAGUUCCAAACCACAUAAUUUAAAUGGGAUUUCGCUUCCGCCGGCAUUAACUAGUCCAACUCUUGUCUUCUUAUUUGCUUGGAUGCGAAUUCAAUAUAUAGUUCUAUCAUGUCUUCUACUUAAGUUAAUUAUCUGUUACCAUUUUAUCGUUUGAAAGAAGAUGCAUUCAUAUGUAUCAUCCAUCAAAAUUGAGGUGAGCUGAACCAUAAGCCAAGUGAAAGGUGUUUAUUGGGGAUGGGCUGGAACCCACAAACCGCGAGCAAACUUUGAUAUAAGGUCUGCAGGCUCCUCAAAUUAGGUACUACAGUUAUUAGCCAAAAAGACAGAACAAACUAGAGAAUGAGCUAAACAAUUAAUUUUACGACAUAUAUGGGUAGCAGUUGCUUAAAUAUCGUUGUACUCUAACCUAAAACAGUCACUCCCAAAGUACUAUUACUAUUCCCUUCUCAUUUUCUUGAAUAAAGGGGUAAGUAAACAAAAUUUGAACGUAUAUAACAAUUAGCAAACAAAUUGCAAACAAGAAUAAAACAAAAGGAAUUUUAACGAAAAGCUUCCGGUACUGCUUAUUUUAAUGAAAAACCAUAUUUUUACACUAAAAAGUCAAUCAUGGUACUAUUCACUUUACCUUUUAUUUUGUCCUUAUCGUUAAAACUUAAAGUUUUCAAAUAUUUUUCAUUAGUUUUCCUUAAAACAAAUGAUAUAAUGCAACCAUACAAAAUAACACGUCUCCCGCAUUUGACAGAGGGAAACAGCGAAAAGAUUUGUAAGGACUUACUGAGUUCCGAAAUAUACCACAUGUAAGAAUCCCAAUGAAAUUGACAUGUCAAACAGGAGAAAAUUUUACAUAAAACAUGUUCACCGUUAUAUUCCUGUGUUCUUUGUUCAAUAAUGUAUUGUCAUGUGCAAAUUCUUCUUCACAUAACAAUGUUUAAUUAGAACACUAUAUGACGGUAAAUUUAUUUCUUAUAAGUUGAUCUCGUAAAACAAAUCCGCUCAAACGUCUCAUUGGAAACGAAAGAUGACCCCACCACCUUGUUCUGUUGAUUUUGCCAUUUCCUCCCACUUUUGCCCACUACUCACUUUUGAUCUCAUUUCUUGCCAUUUUCUCGUGUGUUUCCCUUUCUUGGGCUUCGGUUUUGGCAACAAAGUCCAAAGUUCUGCAUGUCUUUGAUAUCUGUUUCAGUGAUGAAUUGGUGAACUUGUUUAAGCCCUUACAGAAUCUCCAAAGGAGAUGUCUGUUUUCAGGUGGCAACGCCAAAUCAGAAAAGAAAAACACACGAAAGAGCUCCAACCGAAGCUGUUUAAGCUCACGUGGAUUGACCCCUUUGAUGCACGCCGUCAAAAUUGGCAGCGAGGAAAGAAGGCGUCAAUUUCUCCAUUUUCUUGGUUUUAUACUUAGGGCCCACAUAACAUUUCUGUUACUAGAGUGAAUUUUAACUUCCUUUCACCCAAUUUUUAGUAUAUCAAGAAAUUAAAAUAAAUGAAAAUAUUAAAUUACCAUAUAAGCCAUCAAAUAUAAAUUUGAUGAUUUAAAUUUAGCAUCUCCAAGGGAGAUGCUAUUUUUUUUUUUAGUUAAGUAGUGCAAGUGUUAGAUAAUUAUAGUUUCAGUUUAUUUUAUGUAAAGAUGACAAUCUAAUUUUAUGUUAUAUAGUACAUAUAUAUUUGUCUCUCCCGUUAAUUAAUCACACGAUGGUGAUCAAGUGAAGGUUGAAAUACCUCUGUGAGUCUUUCCGACCCCCGAAAUGGUGGACUGUCGUGGUGAAGCUACCAAUUGGUUCCCUUUUUAUAAGAAAAAAAAUUGCAUUUUAAAUAAUGUAACUUAAGGCGACCAGAAUGUGGAGGCACCUUUUGUAUGAUGUAUGAAAUUUUUUUAACUAGGUAAGCUAAAUUUGAGAGGUGUGAAACUGUAUGGAUUUGUGUCCUUAAAAGAGUUCACACCAAGGAAUAUCAUAAUGAAACCUCAAUUACAUAUGGUAAUGGGGAAUUACUCUUCCCUCAUUGAAGGACAUUCCCAAAAUUUCAAUAUUCCUUAGGCCAAUCCUCAUCUUGCUCUUUCUUGUAUGUGAGUUUCUAAGCCACAAGGCAUAACAUUCGAUUCCGAGUGACCAUAUAUAUACGCAUACAGAAAUGUUUUGUCCCUACCCGUACUACCCAAUCUGUUUUAAUAAUUGAUAUUGGAACUUUAAGAGAUUUUCCAGAAGAUUUUCUUCCCAUGGUUUUGUAAUAUUUUAAGAACCUUGACGGUACAAGAAAAACUCAUUCAAACAUUGAUAUAUGUUAAAGUGGGCAACGCAAAGCUAAACUCCGACUAGAUAUAUAUAUAUAUAUAUAUAUAUAUAUAUGAAUCUUCAGAAAAGGGCAUCUGGUAUAAAGGCGUUGGACAACCUCAUUUCCACUCUAACCUAUCUUCAAUCUUUAUCGCUACUGAUCGCUAAGCGAUGAACAACACCAUUCGCCUCUUUAUUAGUGCAUGGGCUUAUACUGACGUCUUAUAAUUGCUUGCAUAAGUACAAUAUUUAUGUGUUUUUUGAGUACAUCUAUCUUUUUACACUAAGAGGAUAGGGAAUUUCGCUAAGCCACAUAAUAUUUAUGUGUUUGAAGCUGGUUGAAUGGAGUUUCUUGUAUGGAAAGGUGACAAAUCAAAGUACUGCACUUUUGAUUUCCGAAACUUGUUAUUUGUUUAACAAGGAACAUCAACACGGUAUUUUUGAAAAAUACUGAAGUCAUCAUUGAUUUUCAAGGCUAAUGGAUGGAGUGAACUAUCUAUUGCAUGGAAUUAAUGCUUUGUUAAGUCUAGGGUGAUUUUCAGAAGGAUUAGAAACAAAAUGAAACAAAAUUUUCAAUUUUCAUUCUAAAAGUUUCGGAUUGAAUGGCAUCAAAACAUAAUUUUCUUACCAGGCCCAUCGCUUUCAAUUAAAUUUUUAAGGCAUAGUAGUUUCUAUUUGAAAUUUGUAGGUGAAAUGAUGUAAUCUAAGAUAACCUAAAAAACUAAACAAUAUAUAAACAAUAUAUAUAUAUAUAUAUAUAUGACCUAAGCCUAUAUAAUAUAAUCAAAUCAACUAUAUGAAACUACAUUUUUUUCAUUUUUAAGAUAAAGUUUGGAACUAGCUAGGGUAAUGUUCUUUGUUUGAACCUUGAUUUAAAAAUUUAGGAUUUUUCUUUGACAUCAACACAUUGGACUCCACUGGUAAAGGAACUUGAAAUUUCUUCACUCUAUUCUACUUUGCCUCUUUACUCUUCAGAAAGAACCCGAUGAGUUAGUUUCUAUUGGUCUUUGGAAAUUAGGUUGAACAAACACUUCAUUGGAUCGAAGGGCUGGCGUGUACUCCAUGACAGGGGCGUAAAAUGACUGAAUUUCAGCAUCAAGCCAACAUGUUCGUUGAUUUCUCCCCUUGGAUGAUGCCUGUUGUAUCCCCACCAUCCAUGCUUAAUUAUUUUAUAAUUAUUCACUGACUUCAAUAUAAAAGGCCUUAAUUUGUGGUCUACAAUUCAUUAAUGCAAACUUAGUGGAUUCCCUUAAAAUAAUUAGUUUAUUGGCUGUUUGCAGUCUCAAAGAUAUACAAAUCAACUAUUAUACACGGUUACAAAUUGCAUUGCAAGUGGCCAUGUGCUUAAUUACACUAGGAAAAGAGGCAAUGGAACAAAAGGGAGAAUAUAUGUUUGUUUUGUUAACAGAGCUAGUAAUUAGUGUUUGAUGAGGAAAGCACCCAUUCUCUAAAGUAGCAUCAUUUCGUUGUAUACGCCAAUUAUUCAUUCUCUUUAAUUAUCAUUUUAAAUACUUUUAUUCAAUUUGAACAUUGUUCAGUUGUUCAUAUAAAAUAAAGAAGUCGACGGUUCAUCGUUAUGAUGCUGUUUAUUAUCGUGAUCUUUAAUUUGUUCAACAUAUAUGAUGAUUAAAUGUUCUACAAAUUAAAUAAUUUAAAAAAUAUAUAAUAUUUAGAUGAUGGUAAAAAGAAUGAACAUAUUUCAUUCUAACAAUUGGACGACGAAAUAAUGACGAGGUAGAAAGAGAAUGAGGACUUUCCACCUCACAGGAGUUGAGAGAAACUAUUAUCGAUCCUUGUUGGUUAAAUUCACAGGCUACUAAUUAUUGAACAAGAGGCCCACAUAGGCAUUGCGACUUUAGCAUUUGAAUGUCGUUGCCUUCAAGUUUAGUGAGGUGUUUAUACUACCAACACGUGAAUCCAUGUGAAGGGGGUCCUCCAUGUUGUUAUUUGCUCUAGGAUCCUUUGAGUGUUGGGCAGAAAAUCCAUAAAAAGGGGGCUGAUUAAUUUAUUAAAGAUCACUGUGAGAAGUUUAAAGUUUUGUUUAACUUUAAUUAGAAGUUCUUGCCUGGAGUUUGACUGAUAAAGAUUGCUAUGUCAGUAUUCGAUGGAAUUAUGAAAGCUAAUUAAAUUUGUUGAUACACAAAAUCAGAGGUUUUGGAACAAUGUAAAUCCGACCGUGAAUCUGCAUGAAAAGUAAAUAACACAAGAUGUAUCGUGGUUCACCCCAAGGUUUGGGCUACGUCCAUACUGAUUAUGUAUUUAUGAGAGUAUUGAGGAUGAGAGAGUUUCUGAGGGUGAGAGGGCCUAGGAAUUGGCCUCUGAGGGUGAGAAUGAGGCUCUCCUCAAUUGUGAGGGUGAGGGGUCAUUUUAUAGAAUAAGGGCUCCUCACUUAUUACAUAUUUGCCCAUUCCCUUAUUACAUAAUUACAUUUGAGUCCCCUGAGUAUUUGUACGAGAUCUAAAUACGGAGGCCCUAAGUAUGGUAUAAACAGUAGUCCUCAAAGUCUUCAAUCAAGAGAGUCUUUUGGCUGGAGACUUGAAAUUCAGUCCAUGUGUGGGCCGAAGUAACUAGAUGUCGUCUAGGACUGAUACUUGAUAUGAGGUGGUGCCCAAUCCGAAAUGAUGCUCAACUAUCACAUGUUGCGAGGCUGCUCGGCUUGUGGCUUAUGUUGCCUUGGUUGGCUCGGCUUGUGGCGUUGAAGGUGAGGGAGUCCCUUUUAUAAAAUAAGGGCUCGCUCCUCAAUACAUAAAUGAUGGGCUAGAGUUGAUGCUCGCGGCGAGGCGGUUGCUCAAUAGGCGGCGAUGCUCUCUAAUGGUGGUGAGAGAGUCCCUUUUAUAGAAUAAGGGCUCGCUCCUCAAUACAUAAGUGAUGGGUUAGGAGUGAUGC